rnacentral:rRNA from 1 species
UACUAGAGUAGCACUCGCAUAUCAAUAAGCGGAGGAAAAGAAACUAACAAGGAUUCCCCUAGUAACGGCGAGUGAAGCGGGAAGAGCUCAAAUUUGAAAUCUUAAAGGGUUUCCCUUUACGAAUUGUAGUUUAAAGAAGUGUUUUCUGUUGAGGUUUUGGUAAAAGUUCUUUGGAAUAGGACAUCAUAGAGGGUGAGAAUCCCGUAUUUGACCUUUACUUUCAACUUUGUGAUACACUUUCAAAGAGUCGGAUUGUUUGGGAAUGCAGUCCUAAAAUGGGUGGUAAAUUUCAUCUAAAGCUAAAUAUUGGCGAGAGACCGAUAGCGAACAAGUACCGUGAGGGAAAGAUGAAAAGAACUUUGAAAAGAGAGUUAAACAGUACGUGAAAUUGUCAAAAGGGAAGCGCUUGACACCAGUGUUGUUUUUCUGAAAAUCAAUUAAAGAACUGUUUAUGCUAAGCUGUUUGGACUUUAUCAGCUAUCUGUUUAGUUUUGAGCUUUUCUUUAAUGCACUUUUCAGUUAACAAGUCAACAUCAAUUUCUUUUGCUGUAAAAAAGCUUGAGGAAGGUGGCUUGAGAUUCGUCUUAAGUGUUUAUAGCCUCUUGCCUAUGCAGUCGGAGAGAUUGAGGUCUGCAGCGUAGAUCCUUCGGGGCUAAAUGCAUUUGUGCUAAGUUAUAGCAUUUUAUAGACAACUUGUUGACUAUGAUUUGUCUUGUAGCUUACUCGCUUAUGUUAUUUUACCUACGCUUAGGAUGUUGAGCGCAUGUCUCUCUCU